rnacentral:rRNA from 1 species
AUACGUAGGGUGCAAGCGUUAAUCGGAAUUACUGGGCGUAAAGCGUGCGCAGGCGGCUUUGUAAGGCAGAGGUGAAAUCCCCGGGGUCAACCUGGGGACUGCCUUUGGGGAGGGAGGGCAAGUGUACGGCAGAGGGGGAUGGAAUUCCGGGUGGCGGAGCGAAAUGCGUAGAUAUGGGGAGGAACACCGAUGGCGAAGGCAAUCCCCUGGGCCUGUACUGACGCUCAUGCACGAAAGCGUGGGGAGCAAACAGGAUUAGAUACCCUGGUAGUCCACGCCCUAAACGAUGUCAACUGGUUGUUGGGUCUUCAUUGACUCAGUAACGAAGCUAACGCGUGAAGUUGACCGCCUGGGGAGUACGGCCGCAAGGUUGAAACUCAAAUGAAUUGACGGGG